AUUAAAAAAAAAGAGAAAGUUGGAAUUAAAUAUGUUAAACUGUCUACACACAUCUGUUAUCAUUUCAGAUCUUUGCUGCAGCGCUGACGGGAAACAUGAGUGAAGGUGAACGCAGCCCACAGAGCGCAGUGUUACGCUGAUUUUGCUUUGGGGAUGCUGGCCUGAAGUAACUCGACUCAUUGACCUCUGUUCACAUCAACAGUCCAGUUUACUUUCUCAGAACACGGACGACCUCCUGAUUUCUGGACACUGCGAUAGCUUGUCUACACUUUUCAGCCUUUGACAUCAUAAACAGGACGGACACACAGAUGCAACAUUUGCUCCUCUCAGGCCAGGACGCCAGCCGUGUGGGAAAUGCUGACCUGACAUAACCCCACAUAAGGCUUUCUGCAGCAUGUAGCCCAUUUCAUUUUAUAAGAGGGUAUUUUUUAUGACGAGGAGUUUCACUUUUUCAUCCUGUGCUGGUCUUAGCAAAAUUAUUAGACCACCAACCAAAGUAAGGUUUGUUGCCACAGCUGUCCUAAACUAACAGUACUGAUAAUUACUGCAAUUAUCAGCAGUAUGAACAGCCUCUUUCAUGGAAAUGAUAUUUUUAAUCUUAAAAUAUAAUUCUUGUUGUUGUCCAUGUUAGGGUCUAGAAAUCUCUGGAGGUGCAGGAUGAGUGGAAACACCAAAGGGCAACUUUCAGCAGCAUCUCUGACAUCCCUUUUGGUGUUGGCCCUUCAAGCCUCGCUGGCAGAAACAUCUGAGGAACCAAAAAGUGAACUUCAAACUUUACACAUGUGAGAGCAUUCAGUCUGCUUAUUGGACAGUUGUCUGUAGCAGCUGUAUGGCCCAUUGAUGCCCAGGGAGUGUCAUGACUUACCCAUGUGGAGGCGUGUCACCGAGGCUCAGUUUGGUAAGAUGUUUGUAAACUUUUCUUUUUUUUGUUAAAUAGAUAUUCAUACGAUUUCAGGGAAAACAUAUUGACC